CACACACACACACACACACACACAGACGUUUCCAUAGAGAGAGGUUCCACUUUGCAUUAGCAGCUCAUGCUUCAGCGCUCUGCGAGUGUUUAUAGCCCUGUGACUUUAACACUUCAUGACUGAGAGCUGCUGCUCAGCGACUUCACCCACAGCAACCAUGAGUUUGAUCAGCGUCUUCAUCUGCACACUGGCCCUCUGCGCUCGAGGAUCCAGAGGUCAGGUGACUGUGACUCAGAGUCCUGCAGUGAAAUCAGUUUCUCCAGGAGACACACUCACCAUCAGCUGUAAAACCAGUACUGAUGUUUAUGAUGAUGAUGCACUGGCCUGGUAUCAGCAAAAACCUGGAGAAGCUCCUAAACUCCUGAUCUAUGCUGCUGACACUAGAGAAUCAGGUAUUCCAUCACGUUUCAGUGGCAGUGGAUCUGGAUCUGAUUUCACUCUGACCAUCAGUGGAGUCCAGACUGAAGAUGUUGGAGAUUAUUACUGUCAGAGUUUCCAUGAGAUCAGUAGUAGCUACGUGUUCACACAGUGUUAGAGCGUCGUACAAAAACCUGUGUGAGUGUGACUGCUGCAGCUGGGACCUACUGCAGGUGCUGAGGGACACACACACACACACACACACACACACACACACACACUACAGU